UACAGGGGUGCAAACGUUGCUCGGAAUCAUUGGGCGUAAAGCGCACGUAGGCGGUUCGUUAUGUCGGAUGUGAAAGCCCUUGGCUUAACCGAGGAAGUGCAUCCGAAACUGGCGAGCUAGAGUACGAAAGAGGAUCGCGGAAUUCCCGGUGUAGAGGUGAAAUUCGUAGAUAUCGGGAGGAACACCGGUGGCGAAGGCGGGUUGCUGGGCUGACACUGACGCUGAGGCGCGAAAGCUAGGGAGCGAACGGG
rnacentral:rRNA from 1 species